GCUACCGGCGAGGAGGCUGCGGCGUCCUCCGGCCGCCCUGGCGGGCGCUCGGGCCUCUUGCCCCGGCCCCGGCCCCGGCGGCUCGCCCGCCGAAGGGCUUGGGUUUGCUUCGCCCCAACAGACAAGAAGCCUGAGGCUUGACCGAAAUCAGCAAAUAUUUGGUGAGAACAGCCAGAACCAGAAGCCAGGACUGACAAAUGCUAAAGGAAAUGGAAUUCUCCCUACGCAACAGUGCUGGACCUGCCCGAGAGCUCACACCAGCUGGUGCUUACACUAGUAGGCCUUUUGUGUGUCAUCUGCCUGGAGGGAUCCUGUGGACCCCGCUGACCUUGGGGGAGCUUGUGGCCAUGUAUGAAUGCCCACUCUCAGCCCUGAUCAACACUUGACCCUCAACACGGGGUCUGCAAUCUCAUGAAGGUGCUAAAUCCUGACUCACUGAUUGGAUCUAGCCUGUAAAUCAGAGCCCAAGACACUUAGGGAUCAGUAAGUGUCUCAUUUAAAUGGAGAAACAAGA